GACCGAUGUGUAACAGUUCUGCCCAACC
rnacentral:piRNA from 1 species